AUUUAAAUAGCUUAUAAUUAGAGCGUAAUACUGAAAAUAUUAAUGAAAUAUUGAAUUUUUAAAUA
rnacentral:tRNA from 1 species